CCUACGGGAGGCAGCAGUGGGGAAUAUUGGACAAUGGGCGAAAGCCUGAUCCAGCAAUUCCGCGUGUGUGAAGAAGGCCUUCGGGUUGUAAAGCACUUUAGUGGGGGAAGAAACAGCUUGGCCACACCAAGCCUUGACGGUACCCCAAGAAUAAGCACCGGCUAACUCUGUGCCAGCAGCCGCGGUAAUACAGAGGGUGCAAGCGUUAAUCGGAUUUACUGGGCGUAAAGGGUGCGUAGGUGGCUAUUUAAGUCGGAUGUGAAAGCCCGGGGCUCAACCUCGGAAUUGCAUUCGAUACUGAGUGGCUAGAGUUCGGUAGAGGGCGGCGGAAUUUCCGGUGUAGCGGUGAAAUGCGUAGAUAUCGGAAGGAACAUCAAUGGCGAAGGCAGCCGCCUGGGCCUGGACUGACACUGAGGCACGAAAAGCGUGGGUAGCAAAACAGGAUUAGAUACCCUGGUAGUCCACGCCGUAAACGAUGAGAACUUGACGUUGGUUCGUUUUACGAAUCGGUGUCGCAGCUAACGCGAUAAAGUUCUCCGCCUGGGGGAGGUACGGCCGCGAGUAGAAACGUAACAAAGAAAGUAGUUAGGCGUGAGAGNGCGACGGACGACACGAGGGAGGAGG
rnacentral:rRNA from 1 species